rnacentral:rRNA from 1 species
AGUGAACGCUGGCGGUAGGCCUAACACAUGCAAGUCGAACGGCAGCACAGUAAGAGCUUGCUCUUACGGGUGGCGAGUGGCGGACGGGUGAGGAAUACAUCGGAAUCUACUUUUUCGUGGGGGAUAACGUAGGGAAACUUACGCUAAUACCGCAUACGACCUACGGGUGAAAGCAGGGGAUCUUCGGACCUUGCGCGAUUGAAUGAGCCGAUGUCGGAUUAGCUAGUUGGCGGGGUAAAGGCCCACCAAGGCGACGAUCCGUAGCUGGUCUGAGAGGAUGAUCAGCCACACUGGAACUGAGACACGGUCCAGACUCCUACGGGAGGCAGCAGUGGGGAAUAUUGGACAGUGGGCGCAAGCCUGAUCCAGCCAUACCGCGUGGGUGAAGAAGGCCUUCGGGUUGUAAAGCCCUUUUGUUGGGAAAGAAAAGCAGCAGGUUAAUACCCCGCUGUUCGGACGGUACCCAAAGAAUAAGCACCGGCGAACUUCGU